GUGAGGAGAGACAGAGACAGGUGUGUAGGUGCGGUAAGAGAGAAAGCAGAGGAUUUGAAUUUUCUUCUGAUUUUGACUGCUUAAAGAGGAGGCGGAGCCAGCAUCAAUCAUGCGGUCCAUUCCAGACCUUCAGGAAGAAGGAAGGUUCAGUGGACUUCUUCUUCGUGGAACAGAGUGCUCGCCUCCAGGCCAGGAGAGGCGAGUCACCAGAGGAUCGUGGCCGCCCUAUGCCUCGGGGCAGAUAAAAGCUGGCCAGCCCCAGUCCCAAGUUGUGGGAGCAACAUUGCUGGUUGCUAGUUCCUGCCUGAACCUGUCCUGCUUUCCUGCCUGAGCUCCUGACCCGCCCUGGUUCCCUGCUUGCAAGCCUGUUCCUGACUUCACCCGACUCCCUGCCCUGCACCCGGACUUGCACCUCGCCUCUCGGGUAACCCACAGGACCAACACAACGAGGAAGGAGGGAGAAAGGAUUGAAGAGAAGUGAAAAUGGCGGGGACAAAAGGCUGACUGCUGACUCACCCUUACUGUGCGAGGAAGAAACCAGAAACAAUGGAAAAAAAUUAGGCCCUUUGGGGGAUGAUGUCUAUUUCUUUUUGUGUAUCUUGUUGGUGCGUAAGCAUAAAUAAAGCAAAAACAAUAUGUUUGUCGGGCUGUUGUUUUUUUGUGGUUGUUGUUUCUGUAUUCUCAUUUUAUAUUGUUACGUUGUGAACCGCCCUGUGAUCUUUGGAUGAAGGGUGGUAUAGAAAUUUAACAAUGAAUGGAUGAAUGAAUGAAUGCUCUCCCCAGGGAAAUAUUUAUGGCACCCACACUGUCAGCCUCAGACACCAGGCUGAGAAACAUGUUUAGGUAGGCUUUUGGUGAAUUGACUGUGAUUGCAUGAAGUCUGUUUUCCAUUUCUCUUAGCUGAGAGGGUUAGGCUGUGUACUUUUUACAACAUUGCUGGAUGGGCACCUCCUAGAUGAAAUCUGUUUGUUUGUUUGUUUUUAUUGUAAUUUUUGAUGUGUUUGCUUUUGAAUAUUUGUAAGCUUUUUGUGUAUUAUAAAAAAAGCUUUGAGACUUCUUGUGAGGAAAGCCACAAGUGAAAUUAAUAAUAACUAUACUAUUAAUAAUAUUUGUAAGGUUGAGUCUAAAGAUGGCAACCUUUUCUUCUCUCUUGACACCUUUUUCUGUGUGUGAUUUGCUUUACUAGGUUGAAAGCCUGCUUGUAGGGCCAGGUCUGCUUUCAUUUUUGGAUGUUCAGGACAGUGCACUGGGUAAUGAUGGUGUUGCUUUUCAGUCCCUAGUAUGGGCUACCUGCCAGAAUGUGGUUUUUAUUAGUCAAAAUAACAGAAGAAUAGCCAGUGAGUGAUCCUCUGGCCUUUCUCCCUACACCAGUUUGAAAUUGUAACUGCACUGUUGUGCUCUGAGACUAUUGAAAUUCUAUCUCAUAUUGCAACUUCUGCAAGAAAACAAAAUAUUAAACAUUCUCUCAAGUGUACAGCUAGACAAAAUAUGUGUUAAAUCUUCAUACAAAUUGGCAGGUGGGCGCAGUUUUAAAUUACACAAAUUAAGCAAAAAGUUUAGGUUCCCCUGCCCCCCUCCGUGUGCUUUCUGAAGACUGCAGAUUACAGCAUAAGUUUCGCAAAAUAAUACAUCAGAAAUAAUACGUGAUAAUACUGCCUUCUUUUUGGAGUGUGCUUUCCUUGAAGGCACUUUUGAGUCGGUGUCACAAUGCUUCCAGGAGAGCAUAACAGGUUAGUGUGUAAAAUCCUCAAGACAGUGCUUCCUCACAGUUCCUUUCAGCUAAAUGUUUGUGCAGUUAAAGUAGCAAAUACCAGUAUCUUCAGUAUACAAUGGUCAUAGUGGGCAAAGUAAAUUACUUAAUCGUCUUAACUGUAUCCUACUGGUUUUCAUCUCACUCAUUAAGCUAGGUGACUUUAUUUUUUCUGGUAGGCCUCAUGUGCUUUUAACAGUUUUCUGACAAGCAGACAUCUGCCCAGUGAACCUUUUUUUUUUUUUUUUAAUCACUGCAUCUCAGUGCCAGAGAAAAGCCUCAGCUGCUAAAUUUCUGUCUGUCAGGAAAGUGUUAAUGGCACAGGAGCCCUGUCAGAAGAAUGGAAGCAGGCAUAAAGAAUAAGUUGAGCAUCCACAGCAUAUGGUUAAGAUGUUUGAAGUCAUUAUUUUUAUGAAGUUUCAAAAAAAUACAGUGGUACCUCGGGUUAAGAACUUAAUUCAGAGGUCCGUUCUUAACCUGAAACUGUUCUUAACCUGAGAUACCACUUUAGUUAAUGGGGCCUCCUGCUGCCACCACACUGCUGCCAAUCGAUUUCUGUUCUCAUCCUGAAGCAAAGUUCUUAACCUGAGGUACUAUUUCUGGGUUAGCGGAGCCUGUAACCUGAAGCGUCUCUAACCCAAGGUACCACUGUAAAUAAUAAUAUCUGUACAUGGUACAAAUUUCAAGAGUUUACAGCACUUGCUGCUUUCUUAAGAAUACAGCUGUUCCAUACACUUCCAGAGCAACGACUUGUAGCCCAUCAGGGAUGCUCAGAUCUUAUGAAAUAAACUCCAUACCUGGCAAAGGUAUUGCAGAAUUAACAUACUCUUCUGAUGCCUAAGACCAUCCUUCCCUGCCCCAGUGUUGAUGGUUGGAGAGGGGUUUAGGAUGCAGUAUUGUUGCCUCUGCCAGCCUCCAUUGACUGAGAUUAGCGCUGGUGAUAUGGGAGCUCCACUGUGGCAAUAAUCUUCCACUUGCAAUAGUCAGUGGAAAGCUCCAAAAGGAAGCAUUCAAGGACAGGGCACCAGUAUGUGCCUUGGCCAGCAGUGAUAGCAGUUUGAAAAAACUGUACGUGCCAGAUAUAUGUAACAUUGCGAUGGGCUCAUGUUUCCAAUACUGUUUUCUCACUUCCCCAAUCAAACUGAAGAAUACAUGUUUGUUGUUGCAAGCAAGAGAAAAUGACAUAGAUAACAUACAUGGUUGAAGAAUAUUGAUAAAGAGCUACUGUGUGUGCUGGUUUCAAGGCCUUGUAGAAACCACAAUGGGGAUGUUUCAGAUAUCUGAAACUUGCAAAUGUCCUUUCUGUAGAACUGCCUGUACUGAGUUUGUAUCCUUUGUUACACACUGAAAAAGCCUUGUACAUUCAUUGUUUUGUUCCCUUUGGUCUUAACAGUAGUAAGUCGAGGCCUAGGCAAACAGUUUUUCUGAAACCACUAAACGAAAAUACAGUUCAAAUGAACCCAAGCUGGCCUUGGAUAUUAUUUUUUUAAAGCCUUUGUUCUAAUGCAGGGUAAUAAAUAUCACUAAUUGAUAUUAGAUUAAUAUCUGCUAUGAUGGUUUAUUUUGUUCAAUUAACUAGCACAAAAUCUAGAAUCUAAUGUUAAUUUUCUUCUUAACUAUAAGGAUUUUGGUCAAUAUAUUGAAAAAUUGCACAGUGCUAAAACAGACCAGUACAUGACCAGUACUAAUUAACUGAUCAGGAAUAGGUCUGAAUAGCCUGUGUUCUGGUAUUUGCAGCCAAUCUGGACAUUAUGUUAAAUAUAUUUAAAAAAAUUAAAAAAUGUCCAGUAGCACCUUAGAGACCAACUAAGUUUGUUCUUGGUUUGAGCUUUCGUGUGCAUGCACACACAGAAGCUCAUACCAAGAACAAACUUAAAGGUAAAGGGACCCCUGACCAUUAGGUCCAGCUGUGGCCGACUCUGGGGUUGCGGCGCUCAUCUCGCUUUAUUGGACGAGGGAGCCGGCGUACAGCUUCCGGGUCAUGUGGCCAGCAUGACUAAGCUGCUUCUGGCGAGCCAGAGCAGCACACGGAAAUGCCGUUUACCUUCCUGCUAGAGUGGUACCUAUUUAUCUACUUGCACUUUGACGUGCUUUCGAACUGCUAGGUUGGCAGGAGCAAGGACCGAGCAACGGGAGCUCACCCCGUCGCGGGGAUUCGAACUGCCGACCUUCUGAUCGGCAAGUCCUAGGCUCUGUGGUUUAACCCACAGCGCCACCUGCGUCCUGUCUCUAAGGUGCUACUGGACAUUAUAUAUAUAUAUAUAUAUAUAUAUAUAUAUAUAUAUAUAUGUAUUUCUACUGCAUCAGGCCAACACGGCUACCUACCUGAAUCUAGAAUUAUGUUAAAUGCAUGCUUUCAAAAAUGCACAUGGUAUCUACUAGGGGAAGAGGCUAAUAAUUAUCAUGAUCACAGUAGGCAGGAACAGAAGAUGUAACCCGUUUCUCCUGUGCUGUGGUACUGAAGAAAAUGAUUUCUACUGCAGCAGUUAGGUUGCGUUAGAAGGUAAACGAAUAUUGGCACCACUGGAUGAUUUCCUCUCGGUUAAAACAGCAGCUUCAGGGAAUGAAUUUCCCUCAGAAUUGCAGCAGAGGAGGAAAAGAUCAGUUUCCCCCUUUGAAUGAAACAUUCAUUUUUUAAAGCAUGCACGUUAAAUGCAAAGUAGAAGCAUGCACAUUUAAAUACAUGUGAAAUGUAGUUUGGCCCUUAGUGUCUUGGCUGAUUUAAACUCAGGCAGUCCUCUCUUAAGAUUGGUCUUUUUUUCCUUUAGAAACUGACUGCCAUCUUUAAGGAAAUGUAAAGCGCUGGGAAUAGCACAAUGGAAAACAACGCAACCCGUUUCCAGUACUUAACAAAUCUUUAAAGAUUGUUGUUUCUAAUAACAGAAGCAACUUAAGUUUAUGAGAAAAGUAUCUGAGCUUCCGUCUGCCAUUUCCAACAUAUGGAAGCAUUGGUCCCUAAUCCUAGAUGUGUUGGAGUUGACUAUAUUCAGUGAGUGAGAUGCACUGUGAUAUGCCCAGAGGCACUCUUUAUUAUUCAGAUAUGUAUUUCAGUGCUGAAUCCUCACAUAAGAAAAAAAACCCUCUAGGUUUGAACCCAAACACAAGCCUUGAUUAAAGACUAUUUCUAAGUUUGUUUUUAAAAGGUGAGACACACCAGGGAUUUAAUUUGACAAGUGAAUGCAAUUAAUCCAGGAAAUGUUGAAAUGGAAUUAUUCAGACUCAAUUGCAGCGAAUCUUCAGCUAUCUAUAAAUUUUGAACACACUUUUUUUUCAUUCUGACAUUAUUUCAUAAUAGGAGAAGUCAAAAAUGUACCAAUGGAAAAGGAAAAUAAAAUAAGAUAUGUACAUAUUAUAUCAGAAAAACCUAAUGUUCUGGUUCAUAGAAAUGUAACUUCUAAAGCGUCUUGUCAUUGUUAAUUUAUCAAGUAGCUGUUGCACCAGCAUGCAAAUAAGUUACUAUUCUAUAGUGCAGGUAUAUUCAUAUUUCCAUCUGAAUUUUCUUUGCUCAUUGUGAAGCCAUUAUCUCAAUUCAGCUAGAUGCCUUUUAGGGCUAUUUCUGCUAAUUGUCCAGGGCUGUUAGCUUCCUGUUGCUCUCAUUAAUUUCUUAAGGAAUCAAUGAAAAUCGGUAUUUUCAUUCUUAUGUGGAGAAAACAAGGAUGUAUCCUACAUACAUUUAUUGCCCAGGCCUAAUGUCUAACCAUGAGUUUUAGUAUUGAUUCAAAAUACAGUAGUCAAUGUGCCAUUACUGAACAUCUGAAUUAUAAUAAAAUAUUGAGUAAUCUUGAAUAUAACCAUCAGAUUGGAGACUUGGGAGUCUUCUACUGCAUUUCAAGGGAUGUUGGGAUUGUCUCCCUUUGGAAAUGGGGCUGCAUGAAGAAUGAUCCAAUAUAGAAACAUGAACUCCAAAAGAGAAGAUUCACCUGCAGACAGAAGAGCAGGUGCUUCAAAGUUCUGAAGAAACAUUGGGGAGGGCAAGUUGGGCCCAGGAUCAAGGUGGGUGGGUUGCCAUGGUAACAAUGGCCUGCCCUCCUUUGUGACAUCUCCUGCUUCUCCCUUAAAAGCCACCAACUACAGGUGUCCAUUGUGGGUUAGUGAGGAGAGACAAAGAGAGGUGUGUAGGUGCGGUAAGAGAGAAAGCAGAGGAUUUGGAUUUUCUUCUGAUUUUGACUACUUAAAGAGGAGGCGGAGCCAGCAUCAAACAUGCGGUCAGUUCCAGACCUUCAGGAAGAAGAAGGAAGGUUCAGCGGACUUGUACGUCAUGGAACAGAGUGGCUCAGAUGACUGAGAAGCGCAAUGCAGCUCAAAAAGAGCAACAAAGUGGCCCCGCUCCAGCCCAAGGAGCAGCCUCCUGUGGCACCACUUGUGACAAAGCUCUUCAAGAGCUUUCCAGAGCUCGAGAAGGCACUAGCCCGAAACCGGGCCCGUAUUAGACCAGCACCUGAAGAGGACAUAACUGUAGAAGAUCUGGAAUGAGUGUCCGGCGUGACGGGUCAAGGGAAGGCGCUCUGUUUUGCAAAAGUUAAAAGGGAGUAAGGGAAGAAUGAGGGUGAUGAGAUCAAGGUAACCCUCCAGCCUCUCCUGAGCUGCAGAGGCUCAGGGCAGAGAGGCGGAAGGAACUAAGUUCCCGCAGGAGAAGUGCUUGUCUCCAGACCAGGAGAGGCAAGUCACCAGAGGAUCGUGGCCGCCCUAUGCCUCAGGGCAGAUAAAAGCCGGCCAGCCCCAGUCCCAAGUUGUGGGAGCAACAUUGUUGGUUGCUAGUUCCUGCCUGAACCUGUCCUGAUUUCCUGCCUGAGCUCCUGACCCGCCCUGGUUCCCUGCUUGCAAGCCUGUUCCUGACUUCACACGACUCCCUGCCCUGCACCCAGCUUCAGCUACUAUGGACUGCCUCCACGUUGCACCUUUGACCACUUGGACUUAGCUGAUUCCCCCCCCCCCUUGAUGGAACACCAUAUUUUCUGAAACCCAAAUAAAAA
rnacentral:lncRNA from 1 species